rnacentral:rRNA from 1 species
UGAGGAAUCUUCCACAAUGGGCGAAAGCCUGAUGGAGCGACGCCGCGUGAAGGAUGAAGGUCGAAAGGUUGUAAACUUCUUUUCUGAGGGAGCAUAUUGAGAGUACUUCAGGAAUAAGGGACGGCAAAUCUCGUGCCAGCAGCCGCGGUAAUACGAGAGUCCCAAGCAUUGCCCGGAAUCACUGGGUGUAAAGAGUUUGUAGGUGGUUUGAUAAGUCCUGUGUGAAAGACCGAAGCUUAACUUCGCGUUUGUACUGGAAACUAUCAUUCUAGAAUCAGGAAGAGGUAAGCGGAAUUUUAAGUGUAGGGGUGCAAUCCGUAGAUACUUAAAAGAACACCAAAAGCGAAGGCAGCUUACUGGUACUGUAUUGACACUGAGAAACGAAAGCGUGGGGAGCAAAAAGG